GACGAACGCUGGCGGCGUGCUUAACACAUGCAAGUCGAACGAAGAGCGAUGGAAGCUUGCUUCUAUCAAUCUUAGUGGCGAACGGGUGAGUAACGCGUAAUCAACCUGCCCUUCAGAGGGGGACAACAGUUGGAAACGACUGCUAAUACCGCAUACGAUCUAAUCUCGGCAUCGAGGAUAGAUGAAAGGUGGCCUCUACAUGUAAGCUAUCACUGAAGGAGGGGAUUGCGUCUGAUUAGCUAGUUGGAGGGGUAACGGCCCACCAAGGCGAUGAUCAGUAGCCGGUCUGAGAGGCUGAACGGCCACAUUGGGACUGAGACACGGCCCAGACUCCUACGGGAGGCAGCAGUGGGGAAUCUUCCGCAAUGGACGAAAGUCUGACGGAGCAACGCCGCGUGAGUGAUGACGGCCUUCGGGUUGUAAAGCUCUGUUAAUCGGGACGAAAGGCCUUCUUGCGAAUAGUGAGAAGGAUUGACGGUACCGGAAUAGAAAGCCACGGCUAACUACGUG
rnacentral:rRNA from 1 species